rnacentral:rRNA from 1 species
UACGGGGGGGGCAAGCGUUGUUCGGAAUUACUGGGCGUAAAGCGCGCGCAGGCGGCGGUGUAAGCAUGGCGUGAAAGCCCAGGCUCAACCUGGGAGGGUCGUCGUGGACUGCACCGCUUGAGGGCGGUAGGGGCUGGUGGGAAUGCCUGGUGUAGUGGUGAAAUGCGUAGAGAUCAGGCGGAACACCCGUGGCGAAGGCGGCCAGCUGGGCCGUCCCUGACGCUGAGACGCGAAAGCGUGGGGAGCAAACAGGG